rnacentral:rRNA from 1 species
AAAAGAAACUAAAUAGGAUUUCCAUAGUAACUGCGAGUGAACUGGAAUUAGCCCAUCACGAAAUCUAUAUUAUAAUAAUAAUAUCGAAAUGUCGUGUAUAGGUUUUAUUAUUAUUAAUAAAUUAUUAUUAAAUAAUUGUAUUUAAAUAUACAGCCACAGAAGGUGCCAGCCCUGUUAUUUAAUAAUAUUUAUUAAAUUUAUAAAACUUUAGAGUCGUGUUGCUUGGAAGUGCAGCACAAAGUUGGUGAUAAACAUCAUCUAAGGCUAAAUAUUCCUAUGAAUCCGAUAGCGAACAAGUACUGUGAAGGAAAAUUGCAAAGUACUCCGGAGAGAGAGUUAAAGAGGACGUGAAACCGAUACGAUGGAAGCAUACAGAGCCAGUUGCACUAUUAUUAAUAUUUUUUUAUUAAUAAUUUUAAGCAUGGGUAUAUUGAUUAUUAAUUAGUUAUUUAUUAAAGAGUGAUAAAAUUUUUUAAAUUUUGUUAACUUUAAUAAAAUAAUUAUAUUUAUAAUUAAUAUUUAUUAUUAUUAAUGUAUUAAUAAUAUUUUAAUUAUUAAUAUAAUAUAAGACACAUGUGUUAAAUAUUAUUUAUUAAUAAUUAUUAUAUUAUUAUAAAUUAAUAAACCUAUGUAAUCCUGGUAUGCUGUAUGUCCCGUCUUGAAACACGGACCAAGGAGUGUAUUGCUAUGGCAAGUCAUUGAUAUUAUUAAUAUCAAAGGCAUAAUGAAAAUAA